ACCGGAAGUGGUGGUGUACUCCUGUAAUCCAACUACUCGGAGGCCUGGGUAAAGGGGAUGUUUUAGGGGAUUGAAUCUCCCACGUUGACUUGGCGUCCGCUGGGGGUAAAUCGGAAACAUGAAUGCCUUGGGGGAGUCCGAAGUAGCCAGGUUGAGCCCAAAUAGAGAAAAUGUUCAAAUCUUAAGAGUGAGAGUGGGAGUUACAUUUCAACUUGUCCAAACAAGACCAGACCUGUACCUUA
rnacentral:SRP_RNA from 1 species